rnacentral:lncRNA from 1 species
UAUGGGUUGAAGUUGACAAGGGGUGGAUUUGUGAUGGCUAAUAUUGAGCGUCAACUUGAUUAGACUGAAGGACACAAAGUAUUGUACUUGGGUGUGUCUGAGAUGGUGUUGCCAAAGGAGAUUAACAUUUGAUUCAGUGGACUUGGAGAGGCAGACCCACCCUUAAUCUGGGUGGGCACCAUCUAAUCAGCUGCCAGUGUGGCUAGAAUAAAGCAGGCAGAAGAAAGUGGAAGGACUUGACUUGCGGAGUUUUCCAGGCUUCAUCUUUUCUCCUUUGCUGGAUGCUUCCUGCCCUCGAACAUCAGACUCCAAGUUCUUCAGCUUUUGGAGUCUUGGACUUACUGGUGGUUAACAAGGGGUUAUCAGGCCUUCAGCCACAGAUUGAAGGCUGCACUGUCAGCUUGUCUACUUUUGAGGUUUUGGGACUCAGACUGGUUCCUUGCUCCUCCGCUUGCAGACAGCCUAUUGUGGGACUUCACCUUGUGAUCAUGUGAUGCUGUGAACCCUCCCCAAGGGAGGUACCAAAAGCCUGCAUGAAGCAAAAACUGGAAACAAAUAAAGGAGAGUAUGGUGACUUUGCACUAAGUUACUCAUUUAUUCACAUAAUUAAUGAGUUUCUAUUAGUGUUAGGCACCGUUCUAGAUGAUGGUAUAAUUAGUUAACAAAAACCUCAAAACUCUCGCCCCCCAUGGAGCUUACAUUUCCAGGGAGGGAGAGAGAUGAUACAACAAUAAGAAAAUACAGAGCUAAUGUCAUUCUAUAUUGUAUAAUUAUGUAAAAUCAAGCCUGAGUAUUUGACAGCUUCUCAGAUACCACAGAUCUGUUGUUUAAUGAAAUCAGCCUAAAAGAUAAAAUUGUGUAUUUGCAUGUACACAUCACCUUGCCUGUAUUAUGAGUCAGCGUUUCUUCUUAUAAGAAACCACAGCUUGGUAAAAGGUAGAAGCUCAAUUUCCUAAUAAAGAGAUAUGUUUUACUAGGCAGGCUGUUGCACUGCAUAUUACUCUCUCUGACCUUGGCUUUAGUCCAAGGAGGAUUAAACCCAGAAAGAGAAGGGAGUAAAGCAAGGUGUAGCAGAAAAGCAAAACAAAACAAUACAAAAUAACCUCAAAGAAAUUAGUAACAAUAAUUAGUGCAUUCAGAGAUUAUAUCUUUCUUUCUUUUUUUCCUUUUUUUUUUUCUUUCGAGACGGAGUUUUGCUCUUGUUGCCCAGGCUGGAGUGCAACGGCGCGAUCUCAGCUCACGGCAACCUCCGCCUCCCCGGUUCAAGUGACUCUCCUGCCUCAGCCUCCCGAGUAGCUGGGAUUACAGGUGUGUGCCACCACGCCAGGCUAAUUUUGUAUUUUUAGUAGAGACAGGGUUUCUCCAUGUUGGUUAGGCUAGGCUCAAACUCCUGACCUCAGUUGAUCCGCCCGCCUCAGCCUCCCAAAGUGCUGGGAUUACAGACGUUAGCCACCGUGCCCAGCUGAGAUUACAUCUUUUUGAAAGCUAAAUAUAUAUAUAUAUAACACUGAGUGAAGGAGUUAUGUUUUCAGGUAAGGGCUACUGUUCUUGACAAUCCAUCAUCCAUCCAUCCAUCCAUCCAUCUGUGUAUUCUGGAAGGAGUGAGGAACUCAUGCAAAGACAUAAACAAGUUUACUCUCCAUAGCAAAGAGUUGCCCUGAUACAUGAUUGCUUGCAAACUUAUAUUCAAGUCCUGUGGUGUUUAUUCUGUAGGCUUUGCCAAUAUAGCUGAAUCUUAGGAAAAGACAAACCAAAACAAAAUUGUAACAUAAGCCAUAUUUGUCUUCAGUCCAGCCUUUUUUUCUGUUACUGCACAUUUCCAUACCUUUGCAUUUUCUUUGUAACCCAUAGGCUUGAGUGUUCAGUUUCUUAAAGUGGCUAGAUGUCCCUGUCCACAAUAGACAAAGUCACACCAAAAUCCUAAAAAGAGAAAAUUUGCUUCCCAUCAAAGGCCUGACAUACUUUUGCCAUGAAUGAUAUAGAAAGAUUCUAUAAUAGAUUAAAGGAAGCUCUGGGAAAUUUGUUUUAAAUACAAUCAGUCUUACAUAGACAUAUAUCUUUAAAGUCGACUGCUUGACAUUUUUUCCUUAAGAUGAAAAUUAAAUAAUGGCCCCUGUAAAAAAUCAUCAAAGGUCUCCCUUCACUGAAAAAAUAAGCAAAAUAAUGAGACUGAAGCUCAACUUCUGUUUUGCCCACCUUGAAUCCCUUUGACACACUUCCAAGUCUACCUUACAGCAGUAGGAGCGAUUCCAUAAACUGGAGAUUUAUAACAUGACAAGUCAACCCAGAU